UUCAUAUAAUUAUUUAAGUAGCUAUAAAAAUUUACACAAUGGUAUUUCCUUGUAGAAAAAGUAUAAAUAACAUAUAUUCCCCUGUGUAUAGUUUUAUGUAAAAAUGGCACUGUCCACUUUUACUACUUUCCUCCGGAAAAUAAAAAUUUAUAAUGAAACUAAAAAAUAAAUUAAAUCAAUCGGAAAUUGUUGACCGCUUCAGUACUUAGAUGGAAGUUCUAAAAGCGGCCAUGAGUAUAUUAUCAUCGUCUAUGAAAAUAUGCUCAUUACACUUUACAAAAGAAGACUUUAUCCCAUCAAAUAGUCGUGAGCGUCAUUUAAUUAAAGAAAAGAGCGAUUUCAUCAAUCUUUCAAUUCCAAGUUCCGCAAUUAAUACAUUAAAUACAAGGCCUAUUAUUUAUAUUAACAGCUGUUCAAGCUGUUUCUUUCGAAAGAAAUAUUACUGAAUAGAAUAGCACUCAAAGAACAUUUUUUCAAUUAAAAUAAAUCCUGGAAUUGUGAAACGCUACUGAAUAUAUAUUUGGAAUGUAAAUAAAUCAGAUGAUUUAAAUAAAUGAACAAAGAGACCGAAGGAUGUACUUCAGUAUUUUGCCAUCUUACUACCAGAGGACUGAAAUCUAUGUCACGCCUCCAUUAGAAUAAGUUCAUGGGCCUACAUAUAAUGUAUAAAAAUUAAGCGCAAAUCUGCGGAACCCAAACUCUUGUCAGUAAGAGGAAGAAGUGAUACCGCGCACGCAAUAAUAGACGAUCGCCGAUUGGUCAUUGAAUUUCGUUAUCAUAUUGUUAGAAAGAUAAAUGAAAACUUGUUACCGGUACACUCUUGUAAGACCGUACCUGCUACGUCUGUAUAAUAUUAAUGCAAAAAUGCAUACUGAAAAAGGAAAGCUGUAACAUUAAGAAAAAAAGCAUGAUGAAGAAUAAUUGUACAUAUAACAUUUCUUUUACUAUGUUAAUUCCAAGCUUCCUCCAUUUUUAUACAUAUUCUUUUUGACAUCAGAGAAUUUUCUACUGUCGAUAAUUAAUGAUCUCUUAUUACAAAUAAAAGCAAUAAAAAAUAAUAUAUAGUAUCUACCAUUUAUUUAUUGAUAUACAUAUAUCGUUUUAUAUAUUGAUGUACGUAUAUAGUUACUAAAUUGCAAUUCGUUCUUCCUAUCUUUCUUUAUGUAAAAUAAUAAUUUUAAUAUUAAGCACGUUAUGAUGUAUUUUAAGGAUUCAAUUUAUGUUUUAUUUUAUAAAAAUGAUAUUUACCGGUCCAUUUGAAAUAAAGUACUUUUAUUUUAAUUCUUACGUCCAUGACCAU
rnacentral:misc_RNA from 1 species